UGGGGAAUUUUGGACAAUGGGCGAAAGCCUGAUCCAGCAAUGCCGCGUGUGUGAAGAAGGCCUUCGGGUUGUAAAGCACUUUUGUCCGGAAAGAAAUCCUCUGGGUUAAUACCUCGGGGGGAUGACGGUACCGGAAGAAUAAGCACCGGCUAACUACGUGCCAGCAGCCGCGGUAAUACGUAGGGUGCAAGCGUUAAUCGGAAUUACUGGGCGUAAAGCGUGCGCAGGCGGUUUUGUAAGACGGAUGUGAAAUCCCCGGGCUUAACCUGGGAACUGCAUUCGUGACUGCAAGGCUAGAGUAUGGCAGAGGGGGGUAGAAUUCCACGUGUAGCAGUGAAAUGCGUAGAGAUGUGGAGGAAUACCGAUGGCGAAGGCAGCCCCCUGGGCCAAUACUGACGCUCAUGCACGAAAGCGUGGGGAGCAAAACAGGAUUAGAUACCCUGGUAGUCCACGCCCUAAAACGAUGUCAACUAGUUGUUGGGGAUUCAUUUCCUUAGUAACGUAGCUAACGCGUGAAGUUGACCGCCUGGGGAGUACGGUCGCAAGAUUAAAACUCAAAGGAAUUGACGGGGUCAUAGCUGUUUCCU
rnacentral:rRNA from 1 species